GGAGUCCCGACUGAGGAGCGAGGAGGGCUCUGUGUGGGAGCAGAUCUGGGAUUAUGAUCCAAACCCAGCUGGCCCUCCCCUACCUGCCCCAGGAAUGUGGAGAGAGAACAUUGCAGCCGUGGAGAACAAUGCAGCAAAGCACAGCAGGGGAACCGGAAAUGCUCAGCCUUUGACAGGGCACUUUUAGUUCUGGGGCCUUAUCUUGAGGAUAUUCCAACAUAUACAAAAAGAUUCAUGCACAGAGAUAUUUACUUUAGCAUUAUUUGCCAUAGGAAAAAAGUUGGAAACAACACAUUUUAUGUUCUGUGAAAUGAAAGAACAGUUAAAUAAAUCAUGACUCGAAGACGACUCCAGGGCUGUGUACCGAAGUUCAGGGACAGAAUCAUCUGAAACCGUUCCACCUGCACCUCAGCUUCCUCUGCUGUGUGUUGGGAAUCAGGCGGGGGCCCAGUGAGAUCACCAAAGUGCAGGCCAACGUGCAGGGCACAGGUGGGCGCCAGGGCGGGGACGCUGCACAGCCCCACGCUCUCGCCGAAAACGUGCAGAACGAUUCAGAAGAACAGAUUUCCAUCGGUUAAUAAAGAGCGACGUCCUCCAGCCGUGAGUGA